rnacentral:rRNA from 1 species
UACGAAGGGGGCUAGCGUUGCUCGGAAUCACUGGGCGUAAAGGGCGCGUAGGCGGCCAAGUAAGUUGGGGGUGAAAGCCCGUGGCUCAACCACGGAAUUGCCUUCGAUACUGCUUGGCUUGAGACCGGAAGAGGUGAGUGGAACUGCGAGUGUAGAGGUGAAAUUCGUAGAUAUUCGCAAGAACACCAGUGGCGAAGGCGGCUCACUGGCCCGAUACUGACGCUGAGGCACGAAAGCGUGGGGAGCAAACAGG